rnacentral:rRNA from 1 species
AGUAAAAGUCGUAACAAGGUUUCCGUAGGUGAACCUGCGGAAGGAUCAUUACCGAGUUCUGGGUCCUUCGGGGCCCGUCCUCCAACCCUUUGUAUAUCUACCUUGUUGCUUUGGCGGGCCAGCGGGUCGAAAGGCUCGCGUCCGGCACCCCUCGCGGGGGGCUGGAAAGCGUCCGCCGGAGGAAUUCAAACUCUUGUUUGUAACAAUGCAGUCUGAUCUAAUAUUUUAAUAUUAUAAAACUUUCAACAACGGAUCUCUUGGUUCUGGCAUCGAUGAAGAACGCAGCGAAAUGCGAUAAGUAAUGUGAAUUGCAGAAUUCAGUGAAUCAUCGAAUCUUUGAACGCACAUUGCGCCCCUUGGUAUUCCGAGGGGCAUGCCUGUUCGAGCGUCAUUACACACCUCAAGCUCUGCUUGGUAUUGGGCGUCGUCCUUCACGGACGUGCCUCAAAGCCCUCGGCGGUGGCGUCUUGCCUCAAGCGUAGUAAAUUUUCUCGCUUUGGAGGUUGGGACGUCUACCCGCCGGACGAACCUUUUUUUUA